rnacentral:rRNA from 1 species
AUAGAUACCCGGGUAGUCCACGCCCUAAACGAUGCGCACUAGAUCGAGGCGGCUCUGGACGUCGUCUCGGUCGCAGAGAAAUCAUUAAGUGCGCCGCCUGGGGAGUACGGUCGCAAGGCUAAAACUCAAAGGAAUUGACGGGGGCUCACACAAGCGGUGGAGCAUGUGGCUUAAUUCGAAGCAACGCGAAGAACCUUACCUGGGUUUGACAUGCAUGGAUUAGUUCUUGGAAACAGGAAUGACGCCCUCUGGGUGGAACAUGCACAGGUGCUGCAUGGCUGUCGUCAGCUCGUGCUGUGAAGUGUCGGGUUAGGUCCCUUAACGAGCGCAACCCCUGUCGUCAGUUGCUCACGCGUAAUGGCGAGGACUCUGGCGAGACUGCCGGUGUCAAACCGGAGGAAGGUGGGGAUGACGUCAAGUCCGCAUGGCCCUUAUGUCCAGGGUUGCACACGUGCUACAAUGGCGCGCACAAAGCGAAGCAAGGCCGCGAGGCGGAGCAAAUCGCAAAAACGCCG